rnacentral:lncRNA from 1 species
UCCUCCUCUUCUUCGGCGCGCGACCUCACCUGGCCCUCUUCUCCUCUCGUUUUUCGAUCACCGAAGACCAUCGCCACGCCUUGCCGUCGCCUCCACGCCACAGCGGAUUCCAGCCUCUCUUCCUCUCUCUCUCCUUUCGUCUUUGGCGAGCGCAGCUAUCGCAAGGAACCUGCGAUUUCGUCUGAUCGGAAAAUCAUGUCGCAGUUCACUCGAUUUUCUAGCGACUCCAAUACCAGCGAUUAGCGAUGAAGCUUCGGUCUCUUCCUUUCUCGCAUUCUCUCUUCUGUUUCCGGUUGGCGCAGUAAAACGAUGAGCUAAGAUCGCGAUUUGCUGCGUUUGGGACAGUCGACUCAUCGUUUCU